rnacentral:lncRNA from 1 species
AUUAAAGCAAAGAGUCAUUUCCCCAAAGCUCCCUCCCUCCCAACCCACCGAGCACCUCUGUGUGCUCUUUUCUGCCAAGAAUGAUGCCAUAGGAUGUCAGCGCCUGCCCUUUGGGUUUUGUCGAGUCUCUUGUCUCCUGCAUCCUUCCUUUGUCCUGUUAGUUAAGCUUCUGGCACAGUUUCCAUUGGAUCUUUUAUACUUUCGACUUGGCUAUCCAUUUCAGUUGAAGCUUCUGCUGCUUCACAUGCAAGCUCAACCUUCAUAGGCUCUGCAGCAGUUUCCUCUUGCUCUUGUAUCCCUCCUUCUUCUUCUUGUGUUUCUCUUCCUCCUUCUUUUUCUUUUUCCUCCACGCUGGGAAUCAAAGGUUUCUCAUGUUCUGUUGUGUCUUCUUGGUUCAACAAUGGCUCUUCUAUUUCCAUGCAGGAGCUUUGGGAAUCUGCCCCGGUUUUCAUCUCCUCCUCUACAGCAUCCUCCUGUUGUCCUUGGGCUUGAUCUUGCUCACACCCCAUAGGAUGCACUGGGUCACUCUCCCUUGUGCCUUUGGAAUCAUUCAGGGAGUCUUUAUCCUCACUAGGCUUUGCUUCUUCUGAUGAUAGGCUGGCUACAGCGGAAGGUUUCGUCUCAUCUGCUUCCUGGCUUCGGCCCUCGGUUUCUUCAACGUUUUGUUUCUCCUCUGCGCUGUUACCACCUUCAGCAUCGUCUUGUAGGUCUUCAGCCUGCUCUGCUUUGCACUUGGUGGGAGACAGAGGCUGGCCUUUGGGGUCCAAUCCUGUCUCUUCACUUAUUUCAGUCUCU